AGAGAACAAAACUUAGCGUAAUCUUCUGCUUCAACUGUAGGUGGCUGGCCCCGAACAUGGCAAUGUAUCAUUCAUGCACGCUCGCUGAGCAAAGAACACAUCGUUUUACUUCUAAGAGAACAGGCCGCCGCAGUUCAAAGGAAUGCGUAGCGAGCGCUCUACUUUUUCACUCGGAGUUCUCCACCGCGCGCGCGCGCGCUCAAGAUCGCGGAACAACACAGCACCGGACAGCGAGCAGCGAGUCGACGCAGGCCUGCAGCCAGGGGAGAUCGUGUAUCAGCCAUCUCGCGUUGCCACGAAAACACGACAGUCGUUCGUCAUGCCUUGGAUAUAGCAACAAAUCCUCCACGGGACAACCCAGGACGUGCAUUUCUCAGCACCCAGUCAACUGCCAGAAGUGACUCGAACACAGGCCACCAGUGGCACUCGGCUGUACCACUGCAGUGCUGUGGAAAUUGCCAGCACCAGCGGCUUUGCAACAGCUGUUUCACAGCAUGUCGGAGACAAUGCCUACGAAAUUAUUGGCCCUGAUGACGAGAGCCCUCAAGGGGCAAACGACAUCUCUGUUGCAGAAGUGAGCCCGAUACCACCUGAAGUUACCAUGACAGGUGGCACGGCAGCAAUAGAUACAGAGACGGCCAUGUCUACUGCAGCUGCAACAGUGUACGAGGCAAGCAGCAGUGUGUCAGCAUCAGGAGCAGUGUCAGAAGGAACCGCACCAGGCCUGGUAGAGCAACAUGUGUGCUAUCACUGUGACUUUUUUUGUAGUGCAUACAACUCAUUUGCUCAACAUACGAAAGCUUUUCACCACGACUGUGAGCCAGUGUUCUUGUGCAGCAAGUGCAAGACUAAGUUAAGUGUUAUAACACAGUACAAGCAUCACUUUAAGAUAUGAAAACAUAUUACAGUUGUUGCCUCCCCAGCCAGCCCACAUAGCGACAACAAUG